rnacentral:rRNA from 1 species
CCUACGGGUGGCAGCAGUGGGGAAUAUUGCACAAUGGGGGAAACCCUGCUGCAGCGACGCCGCGUGAAGGAAGAAGUAUUUCGGUAUGUAAACUUCUAUCAGCAGGGAAGAAAAUGAAGGUACCUGACUAAGAAGCCCAGGCUAACUACGUGCCAGCAGCCGCGGUAAUACGUAGGGGGCAAGCGUUAUCCGGAUUUACUGGGUGUAAAGGGAGCGUAGGCGGUUUAGCAAGUCAGAAGUGAAAGCCCGGGGCUCAACUCCGGGACUGCUUUUGAAACUGUUGAACUAGAGUGCAGGAGAGGUAAGUGGAAUUCCUAGUGUAGCGGUGAAAUGCGGAGAUAUUAGGAGGAACACCAGUGGCGAAGGCGGCUUACUGGACUGUAAAUGACGCUGAGGCUCGAAAGCGUGGGGAGCAAACAGGAUUAGAUACCCCAGUAGUC